UACGAAGGGGGCUAGCGUUGUUCGGAAUUACUGGGCGUAAAGCGCACGUAGGCGGACUAUUAAGUCAGGGGUGAAAUCCCCAGGCUCAACCUGGGAACUGCGUCUGAUACUGGUUGGCUUGAAUCCGGGAGAGGGAUGCAGAAUUCCAGGUGUAGCGGUGAAAUGCGUAGAUAUCUGGAGGAAUACCGGUGGCGAAGGCGGCAUCCUGGACCGGCAUUGACGCUGAGGAGCGAAAGCUAGGGGAGCAAACGGG
rnacentral:rRNA from 1 species